UAUGCGGUAAAAUGAUAAUAAUAAUGAUAAUCCCCAGGCGGAUAACGUCGAGCGGCGGGUCAACUGCGGAUAAUAGCACACACACGUCGGAAACUUUUCGAACGAGUCGUUUAAUUGAAAGCCACGCACUUCUGCAGCCGUUACCGCGCGGAAAGAGCCCAGGGAAACUUUUCGAACGAGUGUCACGCUGCCGCCGUCGCGGUCGUCGGUCGACAACUGUAUUAGACGCGUGUCCGCCGCAACGAUAUAAGAGUAGGCCACCGCGAGCCCAUCGAUCAUUUCCAUAGGUCGACGGAUAAAUUAUUCU